CCCCAGUAAACGGCGGCCGUAACUAUAACGGUCCUAAGGUAGCGAAAUUCCUUGUCGGGUAAGUUCCGACCCGCACGAAAGGCGUAACGAUUUGGGCACUGUCUCAACAACAGACUCGGUGAAAUUGUAAUUCCGGUGAAGAUGCCGGAUACCUGCGACAGGACGGAAAGACCCCAUGGAGCUUUACUGUAGCUUGACAUUGGGUCUUGGUACUACAUGUACAGGAUAGGUGGGAGGCUUUGAAACCAGGACGCCAGUUUUGGCGGAGCCAUCCUUGGGAUACCACCCUUGUAGUACUGGGACUCUAACCAUAGGCCAUGAAUC
rnacentral:rRNA from 1 species